rnacentral:rRNA from 1 species
CAAGGCUUGACAUAUAGAGGAAAAGUGCAGAAAUGCACUCCCCGCAAGGUCUCUAUACAGGUGGUGCAUGGUUGUCGUCAGCUCGUGUCGUGAGAUGUUGGGUUAAGUCCCGCAACGAGCGCAACCCUCGUCCUAUGUUGCCAGCACGUUAUGGUGGGAACUCAUGGGAUACUGCCGGGGUCAACUCGGAGGAAGGUGGGGAUGACGUCAAAUCAUCAUGCCCCUUAUGUCUUGGGCUUCACGCAUGCUACAAUGGCCGGUACAGAGGGCUGCAAUACCGCAAGGUGGAGCGAAUCCCAAAAAGCCGGUCUCAGUUCGGAUUGAGGUCUGCAACUCGACCUCAUGAAGUCGGAGUCGCUAGUAAUCGUAGAUCAGCAACGCUACGGUGAAUACGUUCCCGGGUCUUGUA